rnacentral:lncRNA from 1 species
GAGGAGGAAAGGAAAGAGGGUCAAGGGGAAUUUGGAAAGAGGAUGAUAGUUCCAGGGAUGGAGGCUUAAUUGAGGAUUGCGGCAUUACAGUUGCCUCAAGAGCAAGGAUAUAGGAUUGGCCUGAGGUAGGAGAGAAAGAGACCGGAGAUAACGGGGAAAAAGGCUCCGAUGUGGGAAUGGUAAGUACGGGAGGAGGGGAAGGGGGAGGGAGAGGAGAGGGUGGAGGAAUCGGGGUAGAUGGAGGCAAGAUAGAAGGGGGAGGAGGGGGGUCAACAUCCAUUGCAGCAGUUUCAGGUGAAGAUUGCUUCUGCGGCAGAGAUGGUUUAGGUUGGACCGCUGAGGGCGACGCAACAACACUUUCAACAGGCGGGUUUUGGGGAGGUAAAUUUUGGGAAACAGAAGGUACGGCGGUCUCAGAUAGUGGUUCUCGGACAGUCACUACAACUGCAUUUGGAAGGUUCCCAACAUCCUUUGAGUUUCCUUCUCUAUUCACCGGGAGCCAUUGUCUUUUUAUC